rnacentral:rRNA from 1 species
AUCCUGGCUUAGGAUGAACGCUAGCUACAGGCUUAACACAUGCAAGUCGAGGGGCAUCGGGAUCUGUGCUUGCACAGAUGCCGGCGACCGGCGCACGGGUGAGUAACGCGUAUCCAACCUUCCCCUUAGUAGGGCAUAGCCCGGCGAAAGUCGGAUUAAUACCCUAUGUUUUUCCAAUGAGGACAUCUGAGCUGGAACAAAGAUUCAUCGCUAAGGGAUGGGGGAUGCGUCCGAUUAGCUUGCCGGCGGGGUAACGGCCCACCGGGGCGACGAUCGGUAGGGGUUCUGAGAGGAAGGUCCCCCACACUGGUACUGAGACACGGACCAGACUCCUACGGGAGGCAGCAGUGAGGAAUAUUGGUCAAUGGGCGUGAGCCUGAACCAGCCAAGUAGCGUGCCAGGAUGACGGCCCUAUGGGUUGUAAACUGCUUUUAUGCGGGGAUAAAGUGCGUCACGUGUGGCGUUUUGCAGGUACCGCAUGAAUAAGGACCGGCUAAUUCCGUGCCAGCCGCGGC